GUCGGUGGCCCCCGUGUGGCCCCUGUGUGGUCAGUGGCCCCCGUGUGGCGUUGGGUUGCAGACGUAUUGCCCUGUUGAUGACUCAUCACCAGGUGGAGUUAAGGACCCAGACUCAGCCGUUUGGACAGUUCUAAUGAACCUGGUUUGAUAUGCAUGUUACUAAAGAGUUGGACCAUGUACUGAG